rnacentral:tRNA from 2 species
CUCCUCGUAGCUCAGUUGGAUAGAGUGCUUCAUUCCUAAUGAAGAUGUCGUAGGUUCGAAUCCUACCGAGGAGGCCA